GCAACUUUGGCCGAGCGGUUAAGGCGCCAGGUUAGUCUUCUGGUCUCGAAAGAGGCGUGGGUUCGAGUCCCACAGGUUGCA
rnacentral:tRNA from 1 species